rnacentral:rRNA from 1 species
CAGUCGCCACGGUAAUACGUAGGUGGCAAGCGUUGUCCGGAAUUAUUGGGCGUAAAGGGCUCGCAGGCGGUUCCUUAAGUCUGAUGUGAAAGCCCCCGGCUCAACCGGGGAGGGUCAUUGGAAACUGGGAAACUUGAGUGCAGAAGAGGAGAGUGGAAUUUCACGUGUAGCGGUGAAAUGCGUAGAGAUGUGGAGGAACACCAGUGGCGAAGGCGACUCUCUGGUCUGUAACUGACGCUGAGGAGCGAAAGCGUGGGGAGCGAACAGGAUUAGAUACCCGCGUAGUCCCUGUCUCUUAUAC